rnacentral:tRNA from 1 species
CAAAUUAGAGCUCGAAGAGUUUUUUAUUUACAUUAAAAGGGUAAAUUGUAUAAUCAAUUUAAUUUGA